GAUGAACGCUGGCGGCGUGCCUAAUACAUGCAAGUCGAGCGAACGGACGAGAAGCUUGCUUCUCUGAUGUUAGCGGCGGACGGGUGAGUAACACGUGGAUAACCUACCUAUAAGACUGGGAUAACUUCGGGAAACCGUAGCUAAUACCGGAUAAUAUUUUGAACCGCAUGGUUCAAAAGUGAAAGACGGUCUUGCUGUCACUUAUAGAUGGAUCCGCGCUGCAUUAGCUAGCUGGUAAGGUAACGGCUUACCAAGGCAACGAUGCAUAGCCGACCUGAGAGGGUGAUCGGCCACACUGGAACUGAGACACGGUCCAGACUCCUACGGGAGGCAGCAGUAGGGAAUCUUCCGCAAUGGGCGAAAGCCUGACGGAGCAACGCCGCGUGAGUGAUGAAGGUCUUCGGAUUGUAAAACUCUGUUAUUAGGGAAGAACAUAUGUGUAAGUAACUGUGCACAUCUUGACGGUACCUAAUCAGAAAGCCACGGCUAACUACGUG
rnacentral:rRNA from 1 species